rnacentral:tRNA from 1 species
AAAAUCCGUCGACUUUAGAAAUCGUGAGGAAGGUUCAAGUCCCUCUAUCCCCCCAAAAAGACCGAUUUGACUAUUUCUCCUACCCUCUCUUUUUUUUAGUGGUUCAAAAUUCGUUCUCUUUCUCAUUCAUUCUACCUUUUUACAAACGUAUCAGAGCAGAAUUUUUUUUUCUUUUAUCACAAUCACAAGUGGUGUGGUAUAUAUGAUAUACGUACAAAUGAACAUCUUUGAACAAAGAAUCCCGAUUCACAAUCCAUAUCAUUGCUCAUACUGAAACUUAUAAAUUAUUCUAUUCAAGAAAUCGAAUUCCACGCUCAAGACUUUUAAUACUUUUUUUAUCUUUUUUAAUUGACAUAGACCCCAGUCAUCUAGUAAAACGAGGAUGAUGCGCCGGUAAUGGUCGGGAUAGCUCAGCUGGUAGAGCAGAGGACUGAAAAUCCUCGUGUCAC